GAGCGCCCCGCAAGGGGAGCGGCAGACGGGAGAGUAACACGUGGGAACGUACCCUUCAGUUCGGAACAACCCAGGGAAACUUGGGCUAAUACCGGAUAAGUCCGUAAGGAGAAAGAUUUAUCGCCAAAGGAUCGGCCCGCGUCUGAUUAGCUUGUUGGUGAGGUAACGGCUCACCAAGGCGACGAUCAGUAGCUGGUCUGAGAGGAUGAUCAGCCUCACUGGGACUGAGACACGGCCCAGACUCCUACGGGAGGCAGCAGUGGGGAAUAUUGGACGAUGGGCGCAAGCCUGAUCCAGCCAUGCCGCGUGGAUGGUGAAGGCCUUAGGGUUGUAAAGUCCUUUCGGCGGGGAAGAUAAUGACGGUACCCGCAGAAGAAGCCCCGGCUAACUUCGUGCCAGCAGCCGCGGUAAUACGAAGGGGGCUAGCGUUGCUCGGAAUCACUGGGCGUAAAGCGCACGUAGGCGGCUUUUUAAGUCAGAGGUGAAAUCCUGGAGCUCAACUCCAGAACUGCCUUUGAUACUGGAGAGCUUGAGUCCGGGAGAGGUGAGUGGAACUGCGAGUGUAGAGGUGAAAUUCGUAGAUAUUCGCAAGAACACCAGUGGCGAAGGCGGCUCACUGGCCCGGUACUGACGCUGAGGUGCGAAAGCGUGGGGA
rnacentral:rRNA from 1 species